GUGCCAGCAGCCGCGGUAAUACGUAGGGUCCGAGCGUUGUCCGGAUUUAUUGGGCGUAAAGAGCUCGUAGGCGGCUCAGUAAGUCAGAUGUGAAAACUCAGGGCUCAACCCGGAGACGCCAUCUGAUACUGCUGUGGCUUGAGUCUGGUAGGGGAUCACGGAAUUCCUGGUGUAGCGGUGAAAUGCGCAGAUAUCAGGAGGAACACCGAUGGCGAAGGCAGUGAUCUGGGCCAGUACUGACGCUGAGGAGCGAAAGCGUGGGUAGCAAACAGGAUUAGAUACCCCGGUAGUCC
rnacentral:rRNA from 1 species